rnacentral:rRNA from 1 species
UGGGGAAUAUUGGACAAUGGGCGAAAGCCUGAUCCAGCAAUGCCGCGUGAGUGAUGAAGGCCUUAGGGGUUGUAAAGCUCUUUUACCCGGGAUGAUAAUGACAGUACCGGGAGAAUAAGCUCCGGCUAACUUCGUGCCAGCAGCCGCGGUAAUACGAGGGGAGCUAGCGUUAUUCGGAAUUACUGGGCGUAAAGCGCACGUAGGCGGCUUUGUAAGUUAGAGGUGAAAGCCCAGAGCUCAACUCUGGAAUUGCCUUUAAGACUGCAUCGCUUGAAUCCAGGAGAGGUGAGUGGAAUUCCGAGUGUAGAGGUGAAAUUCGUAGAUAUUCGGAAGAACACCAGUGGCGAAGGCGGCUCACUGGACUGUAUUGACGCUGAGUGCGGAAGCGUGGGGAGCAAACAGGAUUAGAUACCCUGGUAGUCCACGCCGUAAACGAUGAUAACUAGCUGUCCGGGCACUUGGUGCUUGGGUGGCGCAGCUAACGCAUUAAGUUAUCCGCCUGGGGAGUAA